rnacentral:rRNA from 1 species
GAUGAACGCUGGCGGCGUGCUUAACACAUGCAAGUCGAGCGAAGCGUUUCUGUGGAAUUCUUCGGAAGGAAGUAGGAAUGACUUAGCGGCGGACGGGUGAGUAACGCGUGGGCAACCUGCCUCGUACAGGGGGAUAACAGUUAGAAAUGACUGCUAAAACCGCAUAAGCGCACAGCAGCGCAUGUUGCAGUGUGAAAAACUCCGGCGGUACGGGAUGGGCCCGCGUCUGAUUAGCUUGUUGGCGGGGUAACGGCCCACCAAGGCAGCGAUCAGUAGCCGAUCUGAGAGGAUGGCCGGCCACAUUGGGACUGAGACACGGCCCAA